rnacentral:tRNA from 1 species
CGCUCAGCUGGGUGCGGGCGCCGGGCCGAUCGGUGCGGCCGGACCGGGCGCCGGGUCGGUGGGCGCGGGUUCGGGCGGCCCGCCGGAGCAGCC